rnacentral:rRNA from 1 species
AUUGAACGCUGGCGGCAGGCCUAACACAUGCAAGUCGAACGAGCGGCGGACGGGUGAGUAAUGUAUGGGAAACUGCCUGAUGGCGGGGGAUAACUACUGGAAACGGUAGCUAAUACCGCAUACCAUCAGAUGUGCCCAGAUGGGAUUAGCUUGUAGGUGAGGUAACGGCUCACCUAGGCGACGAUCCCUAGCUGGUCUGAGAGGAUGAUCAGCCACACUGGAAUUGAGACACGGCCCAGACUCCUACGGGAGGCAGAAGUGGGGAAUAUUGCACAAUGGGCGCAAGCCUGAUGCAGCCAUGCCGCGUGUAUGAAGAAGGCCUUCGGGUUGUAAAGGACUUUCAGCGGGGAGGCGUUACCCGCAGAAGAAGCACCGGCUAACUCCGUGCCAGCAGCCGCGGUAAUAC